GGGGCUGGGGCUCAGGGGUAGAGCGCUCGCCUUGUACGUGCGAGACCCUGGGUUCGACCCUCAGCACCA
rnacentral:tRNA from 1 species